GACCCCAUGGAGCUUUAAACCCNACAACACCCGCCCCCCUCCAAAUCCUAUUAUUUACCCGGUGAUUGUUUGUUUGGUUUUAGGUUGGGGUGACCGCGGAGUAUAAGAUAUCCUCCAUGAAAAAAAGCUAACUGCCCUUAUUAGAGAAAGACACUUCCAAAAAAUAAUAAAUUAAUUUUAAAUGAUCCGACAUUCGAUCAACGAACCAAGUUACCCUGGGGAUAACAGCGCAAUCCGUCCCGAGAGCCCCUAUCGACAGGCGGGUUUACGACCUCGAUGUUGGAUCAGGGUAUCCCAGUGGUGCAGCAGCUACUAAAGGUUCGUUUGUUCAACGAUUAA
rnacentral:rRNA from 1 species